CCUACGGGGGGCAACAGUGGGGGAUAUUGGACAAUGGGGGGAACCCUGAUCCAGCGACGCCGCGUGAGUGAAGAAGUAUUUCGGUAUGUAAAGCUCUAUCAGCAGGGAAGAAAAUGACGGUACCUGAGUAAGAAGCCCCGGCUAACUACGUGCCAGCAGCCGCGGUAAUACGUAGGGGGCAAGCGUUAUCCGGAUUUACUGGGUGUAAAGGGAGCGUAGACGGCAGUGCAAGUCUGGAGUGAAAGGCGGGGGCUCAACCCCCGGACUGCUCUGGAAACUGUACGGCUGGAGUGCAGGAGAGGUAAGUGGAAUUCCUAGUGUAGCGGUGAAAUGCGUAGAUAUUAGGAGGAACACCAGUGGCGAAGGCGGCUUACUGGACUGUAACUGACGUUGAGGCUCGAAAGCGUGGGGAGCAAACAGGAUUAGAUACCCCAGUAGUC
rnacentral:rRNA from 1 species